rnacentral:tRNA from 3 species
GCGGACGUAGCCAAGUGGAUCAAGGCAAUGGAGUGUGGAUCCAUCACGCGCGGGUUCAAUUCCCGUCGUUCGCC